rnacentral:rRNA from 1 species
AGAACGAACGCUGGCGGCAUGCCUAAUACAUGCAAGUCGAACGAACUCUUCGGAGUUAGUGGCGCACGGGUGCGUAACGCGUGGGAAUCUGCCCCUUGGUUCGGAAUAACAGUUGGAAACGACUGCUAAUACCGGAUGAUGACGAAAGUCCAAAGAUUUAUCGCCAAGGGAUGAGCCCGCGUAGGAUUAGCUAGUUGGUGAGGUAAAGGCUCACCAAGGCAACGAUCCUUAGCUGGUCUGAGAGGAUGAUCAGCCACACUGGGACUGAGACACCGGCCCAGACUCCGUACGGGAGGCAGCAGGUAGGGAAUUAUUGGACGAAGUAGGGACGAAACGCCUGAUCCAGACAAUGCCGCGUGAGU